rnacentral:rRNA from 1 species
GACAGAGGAUGCAAGCGUUAUCCGGAAUGAUUGGGCGUAAAGCGUCUGUAGGUGGCUUUUUUAAGUCCGCCGUCAAAUCCCAGGGCUCAACCCUGGACAGGCGGUGGAAACUACCAAGCUGGAGUACGGUAGGGGCAGAGGGAAUUUCCAGUGGAGCGGUGAAAUGCGUAGAUAUUGGAAAAGACCACCAAUGGCGAAGGCACUCUACUGGGCCAUUACUGACACUGAGAGACGAAAGCUAGGGGAGCGAAUGGGA